UGUAGUCAUAUGCUUGUCUCAAAGAUUAAGCCAUGCAUGUCUAAGUAUAAGCAAUUAUACAGCGAAACUGCGAAUGGCUCAUUAUAUAAGUUAUCGUUUAUUUGAUAGUACCUUACUACUUGGAUAACCGUGGUAAUUCUAGAGCUAAUACAUGCUAAAAAUCCCGACUUCGGAAGGGAUGUAUUUAUUAGAUUAAAAACCAAUGCCCUUCGGGGCUCACUGGUGAUUCAUGAUAACUCCUCGAAUCGCAUGGCCUUGUGCCGGCGAUGGUUCAUUCAAAUUUCUUCCCUAUCAACUUUCGAUGUUUGGGUAUUGGCCAAACAUGGUUGCAACGGGUAACGGAGGGUUAGGGCUCGACCCCGGAGAAGGAGCCUGAGAAACGGCUACUACAUCCAAGGAAGGCAGCAGGCGCGCAAAUUACCCAAUCCCGACACGGGGAGGUAGUGACAAUAAAUACUGAUACAGGGCUCUUUUGGGUCUUGUAAUUGGAAUGAGUACAAUUUAAAUCCCUUAACGAGGAGCAAUUGGAGGGCAAGUCUGGUAAUCG
rnacentral:rRNA from 1 species